UCACCAAAAAAUUUUGUUUUUUUAACUUGUUUUCAAAACUCAUUUACUCAAUACAGGUCCUAGAGCCCUAGCUGGGGCAAUACGUCAUUUCUUUUCUUCAGUGGUAGGGCAGAGGAAGGGGCCCAGUGUGGCAAAUGCCCCACCACCAGUCCAUGGUAUUAAAAAAUGCCUUGUAAACAGCUCGCUGUCUCGUACAGUGUCUCAACAAUACGGACUUCCUAUUCAUUAAUGUCUUACGUAAUCAGGCAGAUAGAGGCUCAAAAUUAUGGAAAACUUAC